rnacentral:rRNA from 1 species
UACGUAGGGUGCGAGCGUUGUCCGGAAUUACUGGGCGUAAAGAGCUCGUAGGUGGUUUGUCGCGUUGUUCGUGAAAACUCACAGCUUAACUGUGGGCGUGCGGGCGAUACGGGCAGACUGGAGUACUGCAGGGGAGACUGGAAUUCCUGGUGUAGCGGUGGAAUGCGGCAGAUAUCAGGAGGAACACCGGUGGCGAAGGCGGGUCUCUGGGCAGUAACUGACGCUGAGGAGCGAAAGCGUGGGGAGCGAACAGG